rnacentral:rRNA from 1 species
CAUGCCGCGUGUGUGAAGAAGGCCUUCGGGUUGUAAAGCACUUUCAGUGAGGAGGAAAAGCUGAUGGUUAAUACCCAUCGGCCUUGACGUUACUCACAGAAGAAGCACCGGCUAACUCCGUGCCAGCCACUGCGGUGACUGAGCGGGCUGGCAAGGCGCAUA